GAAAAAAAUAAACCAUCAAAAUUAAUGGACGGAGAUGUCAUCAUCAAUCUCAUUACCGAAGAUGAUGAAGGACACCAGGAAAGAACCACCACUACAACAGCCAACAACAACAACAUGAAUGAGUUGGACGACUUUCUGAAAGAAUACGAGGGCAUCGUGAGCCACGUAUAUGCCCCACAAGUAAGGGCGAUCCCUCCACCUCACGACCAGGAGCAUCAGCAGCAGCAGCAGUUAAGGUAAAAAUUGCUCAUGAAAACAAAAAAAAAUUAACAAAUUUUAAAAAAUUAUUCUAAUAUAUAUUUGUUUUUAUAGCCAUCAUCAAUAUCCGGUACAGAUAUUAGAACACAUCAUAAUUCCCGCGCCGCCGCCACCACCACCGCCCCAGUCAAAUCAGCACGCGGGAGAUGGCUUACACCAAUUUCAUCCGCCGCCACCGGGCAAUAACGCCGUGAACAACAAUCACUUUCAGUAAGUUAUACUUGCAAUAUAUACAUACACUCUAUUCUUAAUACUGUGCUUUUCUCCUUAUUGUUACAGAGCUUCGUUACCAAGGGCGGGUGCAAAGGACAUGAAUGUCCUAAGAGACAUCUACCAAAACAUCUCCCCAGCAGCAGCAACAGAUCUGCCGCCACCACCACCACCCCCGCUGGACCCGCACAGGUGGCACGAGCCGUCCAACCCCCCAAGAGCUGGCAAUGGUGUCCAUGCGGUGCCUGGAGCAAAUGUUGCCCAUUGUUGAAACGAAGCACCGAGAUUCCCAACUUCUUACCGAAAGGUUGGAAAGGGAAUUAACGGCAUCCCGAACACAACAGCAGCAUCUCCAAAAAGAAAUGCAAUUAAUAAUUAAUUAUAUUACAUUUUUAAAACAAAUGUCAAUGUAACUAUAACGAAAUAAUAAUGUAAUUAUUGUAUGUACCUAUUUCAAAUAUACGGAAUUGAUGCAA